GAAACUUAGGUUAAUUAAACCAAGGGCCUUCAAAGCCCUAAACAAGAACUAAACCAUCUUAGUUUCUG
rnacentral:tRNA from 1 species